AAGAUUAUGUCUAGUGGAAUAAGUACAAAUAGAUUCCAAAUCCUGAUUUAUUUUUUGUGACGCUUGAUUAACAGAGUUAGGUUCAAAAGAGAAAUAAAGUUGUGUGUCGUCUGCAAAAGAGUGCAACUUCAAAUUAUUUAAAGAUUUAUACAGGUCGGAAAUAUAUAUUGAAAAAAGAAGAGGACCAAGAACCGAACCUUGUGGCACCCCUGAAGUGACAGAUGCAAAUUCUGAUGAAUUAUUAUCGAUUAUGACCUUUUGAUAACGAUUUACCAAAUAAAAUUUGAAAAACUGUAAGGAGGUAUCAUCAAAUCCAAAA
rnacentral:lncRNA from 1 species